rnacentral:rRNA from 1 species
AAGUGCUUGGUCGAGAUUGUAAGAUACAUUUAACAAAUGACCUCAAAUCAGGCAAGAAUACCCGCUGAACUUAAGCAUAUCAAUAAGCGGAGGAAAAGAAACUAACAAGGAUUCCCCUAGUAACGGCGAGUGAAGAGGGAAGAGCUCAAAUUUUAAAUCUGCCUUGUUUCANGGNCGAGUUGUAAUUUGAAGAAGCGUUUUCUUGGGCUCGCGGCCGGUAGAAGUUCUUUGGAACAGGACAUCAUAGAGGGUGACAAUCCCGUCUGCGACCGGUCGUGUGUUCCAUCUACGAUACGCUUUCAAAGAGUCGAGUUGUUUGGGAUUGCAGCUCCAAAUGGGUGGUAAACAUCACCUAAGGCUAAAUAUUGGCGAGAGACCGAUAGCGAACAAGUACCGUGAGGGAAAGAUGAAAAGAACUUUGAAAAGAGAGUUAAACAGUACGUGAAAUUGUUGAAAGGGAAACGAUUGAAGUCAGUCGUGCUGGCGCGAAAUCAACCCUCUCGUCGAGAGGACACAUGGCGUGGCGAGCCUCAAAACCGUCACGAAGCGUGAACUCUUGGCGAAAAGGAGCACUUUCGUGUCCGCUGGUUAACAUCAAUUUCGAACGUCAUAAAAAGGCUGGAGGGAUGUGGCUCCUUCGGGAGUGUUAUAACCUUUAGCGGAAUGUGGUGGUCGGGAUUGAGGAUUGCAACGAAUACCUUUAGGGCUGUUCCACCUGGCCUCUCUUUGGUAUCCUGGUGACGACAGCUUGCUGACGUUGUUAGGAUUCGCCAUUGAACAGGCUAGAGUGUGAGCAAAUUCGUUAAGGAUGUUAACGUAAUGGCUUUAAACGACC